GACGAGGCACUACGGUGCUGAAGCAACAAAUGCCCUGCUUCCAGGAAAAGCCUCUAAGCAUCAGGUAACACGAAAUCGUACCCCAAACCGACACAGGUGGUCAGGUAGAGAAUACCAAGGCGCUUGAGAGAACUCGGGUGAAGGAACUAGGCAAAAUGGUGCCGUAACUUCGGGAGAAGGCACGCUGACACGUAGGUGAAGUGAUUUACUCAUGGAGCUGAAGUCAGUCGAAGAUACCAGCUGGCUGCAACUGUUUAUUAAAAACACAGCACUGUGCAAACACGAAAGUGGAGGUAUACGGUGUGACGCCUGCCCGGUGCCGGAAGGUUAAUUGAUGGGGUCAGCGUAAGCGAAGCUCCUGAUCGAAGCCCCGGUAAACGGCGGCCGUAACUAUAACGGUCCUAAGGUAGCGAAAUUCCUUGUCGGGUAAGUUCCGACCUGCACGAAUGGCGUAAUGAUGGCCAGGCUGUCUCCACCCGAGACUCAGUGAAAUUGAACUCGCUGUGAAGAUGCAGUGUACCCGCGGCAAGACGGAAAGACCCCGUGAACCUUUACUAUAGCUUGACACUGAACAUUGAGCCUUGAUGUGUAGGAUAGGUGGGAGGCUUUGAAGUGUGGACGCCAGUCUGCAUGGAGCCGACCUUGAAAUACCACCCUUUAAUGUUUGAUGUUCUAACGUGGACCCGUAAUCCGGGUUGCGGACAGUGUCUGGUGGGUAGUUUGACUGGGGCGGUCUCCUCCUAAAGAGUAACGGAGGAGCACGAAGGUUGGCUAAUCCUGGUCGGACAUCAGGAGGUUAGUGCAAUGGCAUAAGCCAGCUUGACUGCGAGCGUGACGGCGCGAGCAGGUGCGAAAGCAGGUCAUAGUGAUCCGGUGGUUCUGAAUGGAAGGGCCAUCGCUCAACGGAUAAAAGGUACUCCGGGGAUAACAGGCUGAUACCGCCCAAGAGUUCAUAUCGACGGCGGUGUUUGGCACCUCGAUGUCGGCUCAUCACAUCCUGGGGCUGAAGUAGGUCCCAAGGGUAUGGCUGUUCGCCAUUUAAAGUGGUACGCGAGCUGGGUUUAGAACGUCGUGAGACAGUUCGGUCCCUAUCUGCCGUGGGCGCUGGAGAACUGAGGGGGGCUGCUCCUAGUACGAGAGGACCGGAGUGGACGCAUCACUGGUGUUCGGGUUGUCAUGCCAAUGGCACUGCCCGGUAGCUAAAUGCGGAAGAGAUAAGUGCUGAAAGCAUCUAAGCACGAAACUUGCCCCGAGAUGAGUUCUCCCUGAGACUUAGAGUCUCCUGAAGGAACGUUGAAGACGACGACGUUGAUAGGCCGGGUGUGUAAGCGCAGCGAUGCGUUGAGCUAACCGGUACUAAUGAACCGUGAGGCUUAACCUUACAACGCCGAAG
rnacentral:rRNA from 1 species